rnacentral:lncRNA from 13 species
GCUGGAUACCAAAUUGGUCGGCGAACCUGUCUUCCGGAACCUCAUGGGAGAGCUUGAUGUCAAGUUUGAGAAGCAUGAACAGUGGCUGCUCCUGAACGCCACUCUGGAUGUCUACCUAAACAUCUUCUCCAACAUGCUGAAGGAGAACCAUCCAGAGGAAGUCAAGCAGGGCCUCAGCAGACUCCGCGGGAAGGUGGAGUACCUGAAGAGGAGCUACUACCAGGACAGACUGAAGAUGAAGAUACAGGAUCUGGCGGACAUUAAGGUCAAAAGACUCAAAAGAAUUCUGUUUGCGUCUCGAAUGGCAUCCUAUUCCCUAUGUAGUGCACUACUUUUAACCAGAGCCCUAUAGGCAGUGCACUAUAUAGGGAAUGUGGUACCAAUUGGGAUGAGUCCAUAUAAAAACAAUAAUUGUGUGCGUGAUAGACAGAGAGAGUGAGAGAGAGUGAGUGAGUAAAUGUGUGCUUGUGUGUCGUUUUUUAACAGUCCAUUGUUGUCUGAAUGCCGUCUUCCAAGAGUGGACACUCCACUGGUCAGGUCAAGAUGAUGACGUCUCUCUAAAUGUAUGUUGUGACUUCUGUUUAGACCAACGAUGCUGUUGUCCAGAGGAAGGCUGUGAACGAGUUCAAAGAGGUCUACCAGAGAGCUUCCCGGCUGGGGACCAUUCUCCAUCAGAGAGCCGAGAAGGUCACACAGAGCUGAGACCAGACAGAACCACCAACUGACUGAUUGAAGACAGAGACUACAGACUGUAAUACAUUAGGAAAGUGUGAUGUCAUUUCACUGCCGGUAUCCACUUCAAGCGCAGAACCUGCUGAAAUGAAAACUCAACCGAGCACCUUCAUAAAAGGCAUCGGGUAGAAGUAAAUGAAUCCAUAUAAUUUCAUAUAUUACCUGAAAUGGGCGUGUUUUCAUGAAUUGAAUGAUAUAAUCUUGUAGUGCAGUCAAAAACAGGAGAAGUGGAUACCUGAAGAAAGGUGUAAACAGUCACUUUCCCAACGUAAACUUAACAACUGUCUCACAGCUUCCUCACCUACUGGUCACCAGGCUUGUUCACGGUGC